rnacentral:rRNA from 1 species
GGUUAAGCGACUAAGCGUACACGGUGGAUGCCCUGGCAGUCAGAGGCGAUGAAGGACGUGCUAAUCUGCGAUAAGCGUCGGUAAGGUGAUAUGAACCGUUAUAACCGGCGAUUUCCGAAUGGGGAAACCCAGUGUGAUUCGUCACACUAUCAUUAACUGAAUCCAUAGGUUAAUGAGGCGAACCGGGGGAACUGAAACAUCUAAGUACCCCGAGGAAAAGAAAUCAACCGAGAUUCCCCCAGUAGCGGCGAGCGAACGGGGAGCAGCCCAGAGCCUGAAUCAGUGUGUGUGUUAGUGGAAGCGUCUGGAAAGGCGCGCGAUACAGGGUGACAGCCCCGUACACAAAAAUGCACAUGCUGUGAGCUCGAUGAGUAGGGCGGGACACGUGGUAUCCUGUCUGAAUAUGGGGGGACCAUCCUCCAAGGCUAAAUACUCCUGACUGACCGAUAGUGAACCAGUACCGUGAGGGAAAGGCGAAAAGAACCCCGGCGAGGGGAGUGAAAAAGAACCUGAAACCGUGUACGUACAAGCAGUGGGAGCCUCUUUAUGGGGUGACUGCGUACCUUUUGUAUAAUGGGUCAGCGACUUAUAUUCUGUAGCAAGGUUAACCGAAUAGGGGAGCCGAAGGGAAACCGAGUCUUAACUGGGCGUUAAGUUGCAGGGUAUAGACCCGAAACCCGGUGAUCUAGCCAUGGGCAGGUUGAAGGUUGGGUAACACUAACUGGAGGACCGAACCGACUAAUGUUGAAAAAUUAGCGGAUGACUUGUGGCUGGGGGUGAAAGGCCAAUCAAACCGGGAGAUAGCUGGUUCUCCCCGAAAGCUAUUUAGGUAGCGCCUCGUGAAUUCAUCUCCGGGGGUAGAGCACUGUUUCGGCAAGGGGGUCAUCCCGACUUACCAACCCGAUGCAAACUGCGAAUACCGGAGAAUGUUAUCACGGGAGACACACGGCGGGUGCUAACGUCCGUCGUGAAGAGGGAAACAACCCAGACCGCCAGCUAAGGUCCCAAAGUCAUGGUUAAGUGGGAAACGAUGUGGGAAGGCCCAGACAGCCAGGAUGUUGGCUUAGAAGCAGCCAUCAUUUAAAGAAAGCGUAAUAGCUCACUGGUCGAGUCGGCCUGCGCGGAAGAUGUAACGGGGCUAAACCAUGCACCGAAGCUGCGGCAGCGACGCUUAUGCGUUGUUGGGUAGGGGAGCGUUCUGUAAGCCUGUGAAGGUGUGCUGUGAGGCAUGCUGGAGGUAUCAGAAGUGCGAAUGCUGACAUAAGUAACGAUAAAGCGGGUGAAAAGCCCGCUCGCCGGAAGACCAAGGGUUCCUGUCCAACGUUAAUCGGGGCAGGGUGAGUCGACCCCUAAGGCGAGGCCGAAAGGCGUAGUCGAUGGGAAACAGGUUAAUAUUCCUGUACUUGGUGUUACUGCGAAGGGGGGACGGAGAAGGCUAUGUUGGCCGGGCGACGGUUGUCCCGGUUUAAGCGUGUAGGCUGGUUUUCCAGGCAAAUCCGGAAAAUCAAGGCUGAGGCGUGAUGACGAGGCACUACGGUGCUGAAGCAACAAAUGCCCUGCUUCCAGGAAAAGCCUCUAAGCAUCAGGUAACAUCAAAUCGUACCCCAAACCGACACAGGUGGUCAGGUAGAGAAUACCAAGGCGCUUGAGAGAACUCGGGUGAAGGAACUAGGCAAAAUGGUGCCGUAACUUCGGGAGAAGGCACGCUGAUAUGUAGGUGAGGUCCCUCGCGGAUGGAGCUGAAAUCAGUCGAAGAUACCAGCUGGCUGCAACUGUUUAUUAAAAACACAGCACUGUGCAAACACGAAAGUGGACGUAUACGGUGUGACGCCUGCCCGGUGCCGGAAGGUUAAUUGAUGGGGUUAGCGGUAACGCGAAGCUCUUGAUCGAAGCCCCGGUAAACGGCGGCCGUAACUAUAACGGUCCUAAGGUAGCGAAAUUCCUUGUCGGGUAAGUUCCGACCUGCACGAAUGGCGUAAUGAUGGCCAGGCUGUCUCCACCCGAGACUCAGUGAAAUUGAACUCGCUGUGAAGAUGCAGUGUACCCGCGGCAAGACGGAAAGACCCCGUGAACCUUUACUAUAGCUUGACACUGAACAUUGAGCCUUGAUGUGUAGGAUAGGUGGGAGGCUUUGAAGUGUGGACGCCAGUCUGCAUGGAGCCGACCUUGAAAUACCACCCUUUAAUGUUUGAUGUUCUAACGUUGACCCGUAAUCCGGGUUGCGGACAGUGUCUGGUGGGUAGUUUGACUGGGGCGGUCUCCUCCUAAAGAGUAACGGAGGAGCACGAAGGUUGGCUAAUCCUGGUCGGACAUCAGGAGGUUAGUGCAAUGGCAUAAGCCAGCUUGACUGCGAGCGUGACGGCGCGAGCAGGUGCGAAAGCAGGUCAUAGUGAUCCGGUGGUUCUGAAUGGAAGGGCCAUCGCUCAACGGAUAAAAGGUACUCCGGGGAUAACAGGCUGAUACCGCCCAAGAGUUCAUAUCGACGGCGGUGUUUGGCACCUCGAUGUCGGCUCAUCACAUCCUGGGGCUGAAGUAGGUCCCAAGGGUAUGGCUGUUCGCCAUUUAAAGUGGUACGCGAGCUGGGUUUAGAACGUCGUGAGACAGUUCGGUCCCUAUCUGCCGUGGGCGCUGGAGAACUGAGGGGGGCUGCUCCUAGUACGAGAGGACCGGAGUGGACGCAUCACUGGUGUUCGGGUUGUCAUGCCAAUGGCACUGCCCGGUAGCUAAAUGCGGAAGAGAUAAGUGCUGAAAGCAUCUAAGCACGAAACUUGCCCCGAGAUGAGUUCUCCCUGACUCCUUGAGAGUCCUGAAGGAACGUUGAAGACGACGACGUUGAUAGGCCGGGUGUGUAAGCGCAGCGAUGCGUUGAGCUAACCGGUACUAAUGAACCGUGAGGCUUAACCUU